rnacentral:tRNA from 1 species
GCCAGUUUGGCUCAGUGGGUAGAGCGUCGGCCUGGUGACUGAAGGGUCCCGGGUUCAAUUCCAGGCAAGGGCA